GACGAACGCUGGCGGCGUGCUUAACACAUGCAAGUCGAACGCUGAAGCUCAGCUUUUGUUGGGUGGAUGAGUGGCGCACGGGUGAGUAACACGUGAGUAACCUGCCCCCUUCUUUGUGAUAUCGCCCGGAGACGGGUGCUAAUACUGGAUAUUCCCUGGUCUUCGCCUGGGGGUUGGUGGAAAGGGUUUUUCUGCUGGGGGUUGGGCUAGCGGCCUCUCCGCUUGUUGGUGGGGUGAUGGCCUACCCAGGCGUUGACGGGUAGACGGGCUGAGAGGGUGACCGGUCACAGAGAGACUGAGAUAAGGCCCAGACUAGGACGCGAGGCGGCAGUGGGGAAAAUGGGACAAUGGGUGAAAGAGUGAUGCAGCGAGGCCGCGUGAGGGAUGGAGACCGUCGAGUUGUGAACCUCGGGCGCACAGGGUGAAGCCGCAACAAUGGUUGUGGUGACGGUAGUGGGUAAAGAAGCGCCGGCUAACUACGUG
rnacentral:rRNA from 1 species